UGGGGAUUUCCAGGAAUGGGGCCACCGCCCACUUUUUGAUCCUUAUGGAUCCUCGGGACUGUCAUGGCGCCUCUGGUGUGUCAUUUAGCUUGCUGAUGUGUUACAGUGAGUGUAUACUGAGGCUCAAGGUCUAGUGGAAGUCGAAAGGUUGUGCCCUGCCCCCUUCCCUCCUGUUUCAGCUUUGUUUUAUAAAACAAUCUAUACAGGUUUUGCAAAGGUACUAUGUGAUCUUAGUUUUUUUUCAUAUAGUUGGGAAAAAGAAAACUGAAAGGUAAAGAAGGCUCCUCCAAAGCAGGUGAGAAUGUUCACAUGUAGGGAUGAACAUAGCCUUAAACAGGUGAGUGGUGCAUAUCUGUCACAGAGGGGAUUUGUUUGGCAUAAAAGAAACAAUACUACAACUUUACCUGUUCACCCUGUUUUUUUUUUUUUACAGCUCAUAAAUUGAAAAGUAUCAGUUGAUCUCUUAGACUUCAAAUUAACUCAUGAAACUGGAUGGCUUCUACAGGGAGCCAGGCCUCGGAUAUAGACAAGUUUUGGGAGUUCUUCAGUGAUGGCGCACCUCCCACCAAAAAGCCCAGGAAGCUGCUCCCAAGCCUGAAAACGAAGAAGCCUCAGGAGCUCGUGCUGGUGAUUGGAACAGGCAUCAGUGCUGCGGUCGCACCCCAGGUCCCAGCCCUGAAAUCCUGGAAGGGGUUGAUUCAGGCCUUACUGGAUGCGGCCAUUGAUUUUGAUCUUCUAGAAGAUGAGGAGAGCAAAAAAUUUCAGAAAUGUCUCCAUGAAGACAAGAACCUUGUGCAUGUUGCCCAUGACCUCAUCCAGAAACUCUCUCCUCGUACUAGUAAUGUUCGAUCCACAUUUUUCAAGGACUGUUUAUAUGAAGUAUUUGAUGACUUGGAGUCAAAGAUGGAAGAUUCUGGUAAACAGCUUCUUCAGUCAGUUCUCCACCUGAUGGAAAAUGGAGCCCUGGUAUUAACUACAAAUUUUGACAAUCUCCUGGAACUGUAUGCAGCAGAUCAGGGAAAACAACUUGAAUCCCUUGACCUUACUGAUGAGAAGAAGGUCCUUGAGUGGGCUCAGGAGAAGCGGAAGCUGAGCGUCUUACACAUUCAUGGGGUCUACACCAACCCUAGUGGCAUUGUCCUUCACCCAGCUGGGUAUCAGAACGUGCUCAGGAACACUGAAGUUAUGAGAGAGAUUCAGAAGCUCUAUGAAAACAAGUCAUUCCUUUUCCUGGGCUGUGGCUGGACUGUGGAUGACACCACUUUCCAAGCCCUUUUUCUGGAGGCUGUCAAGCACAAAUCUGACUUAGAACAUUUCAUGCUGGUUCGGAGAGGAGAUGUGGAUGAGUUCAAGAAGCUUCGAGAAAACAUGCUGGACAAAGGGAUUAAGGUCAUCUCCUAUGGAAAUGAAUAUGCUGACCUUCCAGAAUAUUUCAAGCGACUGACAUGUGAGAUCUCCACAAGGGGAAGGUCAGGACUCUCAGUAGGCUUUUCCACGGGGCAAGGAGUACAUAGCCAAGCUCUACUUAUUUCUUUUGAUCUGCGUUCUGAGAUAUUCCACCCGGGGAAGAUGCUAGGGUGGAAAAGAACAAAAUCCUGCUGGACAGCUGUUCCUCUUACACCGUGUCUUUUCUUGACAAAAAUCAUCAGAAGUACUGUGGAACAGCACAGACUCUUUCAUUAGCUGCAUGGGCUUCCUGACAGAGCAGCUCUCCUCAAAGUUAUCACUCAUUAAGGGAUGGUAAGAGAAGGACAGCUAAAUGGCUCAGAAGGACAGCUAAAUGGCUUAUCGACAGCACACAGUGAAAUGAGAG